GACGAACGCUGGCGGCGUGCUUAACACAUGCAAGUCGAACGGAAAGGCCCUGCUUUUGUGGGGUGCUCGAGUGGCGAACGGGUGAGUAACACGUGAGUAACCUGCCCUUGACUUUGGGAUAACUUCAGGAAACUGGGGCUAAUACCGGAUAGGAGCUCCUGCUGCAUGGUGGGGGUUGGAAAGUUUCGGCGGUUGGGGAUGGACUCGCGGCUUAUCAGCUUGUUGGUGGGGUAGUGGCUUACCAAGGCUUUGACGGGUAGCCGGCCUGAGAGGGUGACCGGCCACAUUGGGACUGCGAUACGGCCCAGACUCCUACGGGAGGCAGCAGUGGGGAAUAUUACACAAUGGGCGGAAGCCUGAUGCAGCAACGCCGGGUGCGGGAUGACGGCCUUCGGGUUGUAAACCGCUUUCGCCUGUGACGAAGCGUGAGUGACGGUAAUGGGUAAAGAAGCACCGGCUAACUACGUG
rnacentral:rRNA from 1 species